UACGUAGGUGGCAAGCGUUGUCCGGAAUUAUUGGGCGUAAAGCGCGCGCAGGCGGUCCUUUAAGUCUGAUGUGAAAGCCCACGGCUUAACCGAGGAGGGUCAUUGGAAACUGGGAGACUUGAGUGCAGAAGAGGAAAGUGGAAUUCCAAGUGUAGCGGUGAAAUGCGUAGAGAUUUGGAGGAACACCAGUGGCGAAGGCGACUUCCUGGCCUGUUCUUGACGCUGAGGCGCGAAAGCUAGGGGAGCAAACGGG
rnacentral:rRNA from 1 species